CUUUCAAAUAUAAACUACAUGUAUUGUUCAAACAUACACCACAUGCCACUUUUCCUUUAAUUGGUACUCCAUCCAGAUAAGUUUCCAUAUGCUGGAUAGUCAUUGAUUGUCCAUAGCAAAGCCGCUCGCAUUACAAAAGUUUCUUUCUUUACUGAGUCAUAAGUUUGAACACCAUCAUUCCACAAUAACUUUAACUCGUCUAUUAAUGGUUCUAAAUAGACAUCAAUAUCAUUGCCUGGUUCUUC
rnacentral:lncRNA from 1 species